GCGGGUAUAGUUUAGUGGUAGAACGAGUGCUUCCCAAGCAUUAGAUCGGGGUUCGAUUCCCCGUACCCGCACAA
rnacentral:tRNA from 1 species